rnacentral:lncRNA from 1 species
AACUAAUCCCGUAGAGCUUAGGAGGGCCAGCUUCAGGUGACCAUGUGGCUACUGUUGACAAAAAUGUCCCCCUUGAGGGAGAAGGAAGGAGGAAGCACUGGCGACUGAAAUGGAGCAAAUUAUAUCCCAUGCAUGUAUGAUUAUGUCAAAAUGAACCCCAUGGUUGUGUAGAACUAUAAGGCAGUGAUAAAAACAUUUUUUUAAAAAAUGUCAUCCUUGAGAUAUUUCAAGACUUUCAUGACCCAGGUGCUACCUGGGCCCCAGGUAUAGUGAAAACAACACCCAACACCUGGUAUUAGGUGCUUUGCAACACAAUCUUUGGGCAAAACACAGCUAAUUAUUUAGACUUAAAAUGAAUCGUUUGAUUUUUAUCCUUCCUCCCAAAUAUGUCUUUCUGGCCCCAAUUACAACAACUCCCUUUUAGGGCUUCCCCCUGCACUCAGCACUUCCUGAAACCUGUCAACCUUUUUAAAAUACAGAUUUCUCUACACCCCGUGCCUUCUACCUGCCUGGAAUAAUCUACCCUGCACUGAUACAUCUUCAAAAUGUUUUUCCUAAACCCCAGAGCUGGAUUUAAUCAUUCCUCCUGUGACCAACUUGUUGAUACAAAUCAACUUUAAUUAUUCUAGUAAUCACU